GAGUCUGGGAUCCUAAGGAAUCUAGUGACAUGCCCAAGAAUACAAAGCCACGUGGAGACAGGCUUUCUGAAGGGUCUUCCCUAACAGAGCAGCGGGCUGAGCAACCCACGCGCCUUCGUCUCUCGCCAACAGGGCUCAGCUAUCGCUGCGCUCCGCCUUAGGCGUUCCUCAUCUUGAAGGUCUCGGUGCUGAGCGACCUGGACUCUUUCUGAGCUGCUUCCAGCUCAGCUUGACUCUCAUCCAGCUUCUGCUUCCACUCUGCAAGGACCUGGGGGAAGACAAAGGGACAGGUGGCAGGUGGAAUAUUCCAGAAGGUAACUGUCAGAUGGUAAGAGAAGUAAACAGUCUAGAAGGCACUGGGAUUCAUUCGACAAGGACC